GUUGGUAAGGGCGUGGUGGUGGAUGCCUUGGCAGACAGGACCGAUGAAGGACGUGUGGGGCCGCGAUAGGCCUGGGGGAGCCGCCGACAGGGCUUUGAUCCCAGGAUUUCCGAAUGGGGGAACCCGCCAGCCGUCAUGGGCUGGCACCGCACUUGGUGCGGGGGGUACGCAGGGAAGUGAAACAUCUCAGUACCUGCAGGAAUGGAUACUCCGUGAGUAGUGGCGAGCGAAAGCGGAUCAGGCCAAACCGGUUGCGUGUGAUACCCGUCGGGGGUUGCGUUUCCGGUGUUGUGGGAUCGUUUGUCCGGUUGCCGACGUGGCCGGCGGGAGUGAUAAAACCGUGUGUGAGGCGAACAGGAUUGGAUGCCUGGCCGUGGAGGGUGAUGGCCCCGUAGCCGUAUGCGCAUGGUCUUCCGAUGAUGAGUCCCAAGUAGUACGGGCCCCGUGGAAUCCCGUAUGAAUCCGCCCAGACCGUUGGGUAAGCCUAAGUAUUCCUGUCUGACCGAUAGCGUACUAGUACCGUGAGGGAAAGGUGAAAAGCACCCCGGGAGGGGAGUGAAAGAGUUCCUGAAACCGCGCGCCUACGAUCCGUCGGAGCCUUUCGGGGUGACGGCGUGCCUAUCGAAAAAUGAGUCUGCGAGUCAGUGGCGGGUGGCGAGCAUAACCCGUGUGGGGUAUGCGUAGCGAAAGCGAGUCUUAAAAGGCGUAUGAGUCGCUCGUCCUGGACCCGAAGCGGGAUGAUCUAGCCCUGAGCAGGUUGAAGCGCGGGUAAGACCGUGUGGAGGACCGAACCCACCUGGGUUGAAAACCGGGGGGAUGACUUGGGGUUAGGGGUGAAAGGCCAAUCAAAUUCCGUGAUAGCUGGUUCUCUCCGAAAUGCAUUUAGGUGCAGCGUCGGGUGAGUGCCUGCGGGGGGUAGAGCUACUGGAUGCUUGAGGGCCCAUACCGGGUACCGACAGCAACCAAACUCCGAAUACCCGUCAGGUGUAUCCCGGCAGUGAGUCGGCGGGGGAUAAGCUCCGUCGUCGAGAGGGAGACAGCCCAGAUCGUCGUCUAAGGUCCCGAAGCGCGUGCUAAGUGGGAAAGGAUGUGGAGUCGCAUAGACAGCCAGGAGGUUGGCUCAGAAGCAGCCAUCCUUGAAAGAGUGCGUAACAGCUCACUGGUCUAGUGGUUCCGCGCCGACAAUGUAGCGGGGCUCAAGCACGCCACCGAAGACGCGGCAGCCGCCUAUGGCGGCUGGGUAGGAGAGCGUCCUGUAUGGGUCGAAGCGGGGGCGGAAGCGUCCGUGGACCGUAUGGGAGUGAGAAUGCAGACAUGAGUAGCGAGAGCGGGGUGAGGAUCCCCGCCGCCGGAUGACCAAGGGUUCCAGGGCCACGUUCGUCGUCCCUGGGUGAGUCGGGUCCUAAGGCGAGGCCGACAGGCGUAGUCGAAUGGAUGAACGGGUUGAUAUUCCCGUACCGGCCAUGAACCGAUCAGACCCGAAACGGUGAUGCUGACCUCCGGGUGUUUCCGAUCCAUCCUUCGGGGUGGUGAGGGGAUGCCUGUUGGGAACCGAGCCGGAGUAGGGUAGCGUGUGGGGUGACACGGACGGGUAGCCGGCCGCGGAGGUGGUUUUCCGUGGCCAAGCGGGUAAGGGCCUUCCCCAGGCAAAUCCGGGGAUGGAUGGUCCGAGACGCGAUGGGACGCCCCUUUGGGGUGGAUCCGGUGAACCCGGCCGUCGAGAAAAGCCUCGGCGCGAGGGUCAUGUGCCGCCCGUACCCCAAACCGACACUGGUGGUCAGGUAGAGUAUACCAAGGCGAUCGAGCGAAUCCUGGUCAAGGAACUCGGCAAAUCACUCCCGUUCCUUCGGUUUAAGGGAGACCCCCUAUGGUGAACCAACUUGCUUGGGGAGCUUUGGGGGGUGGCACAAUCCAGGGGGUAGCGACUGUUUACCAAAAACACAGGUGCAUGCGAAGACGUAAGUCGCUGUAUAUGCACUGACGCCUGCCCGGUGCCGGAAGGUUAAGAGGAUCCGUCAGCAUUUCGGUGUGAAGCGGUGAAUUCAAGCCCCGGUAAACGGCGGUGGUAACUAUAACCAUCCUAAGGUAGCGAAAUUCCUUGUCGGGUAAGUUCCGACCUGCACGAAUGGCGUAACGACUUCCCCACUGUCUCGACCAGGAGCUCGGCGAAAUUGCAGUACGAGUAAAGAUGCUCGUUAAGCGCAGAAGGACGAAAAGACCCCGGGACCUUUACUAUACCUUGGUAUUGGCAUUCGGUGUGGAUUGUGUAGCAUAGGCGGGAGACUUCGAAGCCGUGACGCCAGUCAUGGUGGAGUCGCAAGGUGAAAUACCGCUCUGUUCGCAUUGGAUGUCUAACCACGACACGUGAUCCGUGUCUGGGACAGUGCCUGGCGGGUAGUUUAACUGGGGCGGUUGCCUCCCAAAGAGUAACGGAGGCGCUCAAAGGUUCCCUCAGCCCGGUUGGCAAUCGGGUGGCGAGUGUAAGUGCACAAGGGAGCUUGACUGCGAGACUGACGGGUCGAGCAGGGACGAAAGUCGGAACUAGUGAUCCGGUGCCGGUGUACGGACGCGGCAUCGCUCAACGGAUAAAAGGUACCCCGGGGAUAACAGGCUGAUCAUUCCCAAGAGUCCAUAUCGACGGGAUGGUUUGGCACCUCGAUGUCGGCUCGUCGCAUCCUGGGGCUGGAGCAGGUCCCAAGGGUUCGGCUGUUCGCCGAUUAAAGCGGCACGCGAGCUGGGUUCAGAACGUCGUGAGACAGUUUGGUCUCUAUCCUCUGCGCUCGUUGGAAUCUUGAGGAGACCUGCCCAUAGUACGAGAGGACCUGGGUGGACGAACCUCUGGUAUGCCGGUUGUCACGCCAGUGGCACGGCCGGUUGGCUACGUUCGGAAGGGAUAACCGCUGAAAGCAUCUAAGCGGGAAGCCCGCUCCAAGAUAAGGAUUCCUGGAACCUCCUCGGAGGUUCGUGACCCCCCAUGCAGAACACGUGGUCGAUAGGCCGGACGUGGAAGCCGUGC
rnacentral:rRNA from 1 species